AAAUUGCUGGAAGAUGCGACAACCCUUUAUGAAAAACCUACUAAUCGAAAUAAUAGGGAAUCUGAUUUAUUAUGGGUGUUGAAGACCUAUUAAUUUAGGGAUCCUAAACAUAGUAAUGUGAUACCCACCUGGGAGACUAGGUUUUAUUCGAUUGAGGGACCGGUCUUUUGGCUAUUUU
rnacentral:other from 1 species